rnacentral:rRNA from 1 species
GAGUUUGAUCGUGGCUCAGGAUGAACGCUGGCGGCGUGCCUAAUACAUGCAAGUCGAGCGAACGGACGAGAAGCUUGCUUCUCUGAUGUUAGCGGCGGACGGGUGAGUAACACGUGGAUAACCUACCUAUAAGACUGGGAUAACUUCGGGAAACCGGAGCUAAUACCGGAUAAUAUUUUGAACCGCAUGGUUCAAAAGUAAAAGACGGUCUUGCUGUCACUUAUAGAUGGAUCCGCGCUGCAUUAGCUAGUUGUAGGUAACGGCUUACCAAGGCAACGAUGCAUAGCCGACCUGAGAGGGUGAUCGGCCACACUGGAACUGAGACACGGUCCAGACUCCUACGGGAGGCAGCAGUAGGGAAUCUUCCGCAAUGGGCGAAAGCCUGACGGAGCAACGCCGCGUGAGUGAUGAAGGUCUUCGGAUCGUAAAACUCUGUUAUUAGGAGAACAUAUGUGUAAGUAACUGUGCACAUCUUGACGGUACCUAAUUC